UACAGAGGUCCCAAGCGUUGUUCGGAUUCACUGGGCGUAAAGGGUGCGUAGGUGGUCGGGUAAGUCUGAUGUGAAAUCUCCGAGCUCAACUCGGAAACUGCAUUGGAAACUACCUUGCUCGAGGGUUGGAGGGGGGACUGGAAUGCUUGGUGUAGCAGUGAAAUGCGUAGAUAUCAAGCGGAACACCAGUGGCGAAGGCGAGUCCCUGGACAACUCCUGACACUGAGGCACGAAAGCUAGGGGAGCAAACAGG
rnacentral:rRNA from 1 species